rnacentral:rRNA from 1 species
GGACCAAUAUGUCGGUCGUGCCUCGGUACGUACUGGCAUCGUUGGUUUCUUCCUUCUGACGAACCAUGAUGUCAUUCAUUUGGUGUCGUGGGGAAUCAGGACUGUUACUUUGAAAAAAUUAGAGUGUUUAAAGCAGGCUCACGCUUGAAUACAUUAGCAUGGAAUAAUGAAAUAGGACGUUUGAUUCUAUUUUGUUGGUUUCUAGGAUCGACGUAAU